AUGAACUAAUCCAACACUAAUAAUAACUUGAGGAAUAUAAUAACUACAAAUUAAAUCCAUAAAUUUAAAGUUCUUCAAAGUAUGAUAUUUGAUUACAUUAAUAACUAUAUAUACUGAUAAGUAAGUAAAUAUCUAUGAAUAAUAAUAACAUGCACUCAUUUUCUUUACAAAGAAUACAUUCUGAAAAGGUGGAAAAUGUAUAACAAAUUC
rnacentral:lncRNA from 1 species